rnacentral:lncRNA from 1 species
CGUGGCUGAUUUCUAAGCAUCACUCCUUGUGAAGACCAGGAAGGAAUGUUUUUGCACUCUCACCCUGACUAAAGUGGUCCUCAAGUCAGUCUAGGGUCUGAAGCAUUGAGGACACUCGGGAGGAGUCGUCAGAGGGUCUCAGAGGAAUCUAGCUCAGAAGGAGAGGUUGAGGCAAUCAAGAUGGUUCAUCUCUAUAAAGAGAAGGCUGAGGGGAUACCAAAUGUCUUUCUUUAAAUACCUGAAAUUGUUCUUGAGAGCGACUGGUGAAUAUGCCACUUAAAACCUUGGAUCAAGGACUUUUCUCAGGCACGAGGAAGCACUCCCUCCUCCGGACGGAUGCAAGCACUGGCAUGGAGCCCGCAGGGGACCUGGCUGCCUCUAAGACGUGGUGAGUACGGGGACAGGCCCCAGCUCUGCUGGCUGACCAGGCACAGCCCUACCAUGGAGUGGGUGGACGAGAUGGCCUCCCAUCGGGGCCUGGGAAUCACCUCCUCUGCUGGCCCAGCAGGUUCUCUCCCAUGCUGCUGCUGUGUGGUGAUGGUGAUAAUGGUGAUAAUGAUGAUGAUGGUGACGAUGAUGAUAAUGAAGACCAAGGGGAAGCAGAAAAAGAGGCAGAUUUAAGUGCACUAUCAGAAAAGAACUACGUACAGACCUAAGAAGCUUAGCAAUAACUUAGUAGGAUAAAUACAAAGAAAACCUGUGCCUAUGCAGAUUACGUGAAAAACCGAAGAUGAAGAUCAAAUCUCGGAAAGCAUAAGCAAAUAAACCUAAAGAGGGCUGGCAAUAUGCAUGCCAGUGACUUCUCAUCAGAAACAAUGAAGGCCAAAAGAUAAUAGAGCAACCCUUAAAAGGGCUGAAAGAAAAAAACAAAAAUGAUGCUAACCCAGAAUUUUGCAUCCAAUAAACAUAUCGCACAAAUAUGGCUACAAAAAUAAAGAUAAAUCUUACAACCAGAAGUUGUAAGAUUUUGUUUCCAGCAGAUCAUCAGUGAAAGAAAUACCAAAGGAUGUGUUUGGGGCUGAAGG